AUCCCUUUUAGCUUAAGAUAAAGCAUAGAUUUGAAGAAUCUGAGAUUCUUUAGGGAG
rnacentral:tRNA from 1 species